rnacentral:rRNA from 1 species
CAGCAGCCGCGGGAAAACCGAGGGUGCAAGCGUUAAUCGGAAUUACUGGGCGUAAAGCGCGCGUAGGUGGUUUGUUAAGUUGGAUGUGAAAUCCCCGGGCUCAACCUGGGAACUGCAUCCAAAACUGGCAAGCUAGAGUAUGGUAGAGGGUGGUGGAAUUUCCUGUGUAGCGGUGAAAUGCGUAGAUAUAGGAAGGAACACCAGUGGCGAAGGCGACCACCUGGACUGAUACUGACACUGAGGUGCGAAAGCGUGGGGAGCAAACAGGAUUAGAUACCCCGGUAGUCCCUGUCUCUUAUAC